rnacentral:rRNA from 1 species
UGGGGAAUCUUGGACAAUGGGCGCAAGCCUGAUCCAGCCAUGCCGCGUGGAUGAUGAAGGCCUUAGGGUUGUAAAGCUCUUUUUACCAGGGACGAUAAUGACGGUACCUGGAGAAUAAGCCCCGGCAAACUUCGUGCCAGCAGCCGCGGUAAUACGAAGGGGGCUAGCGUUGUUCGGAAUUACUGGGCGUAAAGCGCACGUAGGCGGAUUGUUAAGUCAGAGGUGAAAUCCCGGAGCUCAACUUCGGAACUGCCUUUGAUACUGGCAAUCUAGAGUCCGGAAGAGGUUAGUGGAAUUCCCAGUGUAGAGGUGAAAUUCGUAGAUAUUGGGAAGAACACCAGUGGCGAAGGCGGCUAACUGGUCCGGUACUGACGCUGAGGUGCGAAAGCGUGGGGAGCAAACAGGAUUAGAUACCCAGGUAGUCCCUGAGCGGGCUGGCAAGGCGCAU